CAAAAUCGUAGCUUAACUUUACAACUAUCGCCGUGUAGCGGGAUAGCUUCUGUAGCAUUAUUAUAGUGACUAGCUAUGAACAGUGGUUGUAAUUAGUUUGUCCUGUAACGGCCUGUAUGGCGCGAGUAACUCCACUGGCGUUCAAAUAUGGCUACUUAACAAGCAGCUUUUAGGAAAAAAGUUCGCGUAGGACACCGAACGUCACUGGAAUACACGCCGUUACAGUCACUGGUCGUAGUUUAAACGAAGAGGAUGACAUGGAACAAAGAACUUUAGGAGCUGCCGUAUUCGACAGUUAUGUAGAUAGAAUAGAUUGUCUAGUACUUCGGCGAACUAAAGCAGUAAAUGGUCCGUUUCAACAAGGGCUAUAAAAAAAAAGUCAUUUUGCAGAAAUAGGUCGCCGCUGUAGAACUACAAAUAGGCAAGAAGCCAAGAAAGAAAAGAUAAUAACGAUAACGACAGUAAAAGCAACGUCAACGUCCUCAAAGUGAUCGUAGUUCUGUGCAAUGAUCGCAAACGGUAAAAAGUAGCGGUGCGUGCUCAUAGAACCAUGAGCGCGCGUAACGAAGCCGUCGUUGUCGAUGUCGUAGAGGUCGAAGGCCCAGUUGAGCUUCUCAUCGAUAGAGCCCUUCGUGGUGAUCGAAAUGGCGCGAAUGAAUUCCUUGAACGUGAUCACGCCAUUCUUGAAUCGUGUGUGAACCAUACAUGGCAUGAAUCCAGGUAGAAGCACAGGAGCAGAAAAACACGAGGCGAAAACGUAAUUUUUGUUAAUAUAAUAAAGUACACUUGGAUCUUA